GACGAACGCUGGCGGCGUGCCUAAUACAUGCAAGUAGAACGCUUAAGGAAGUAGCUUGCUCUUUCUGGAUGAGUUUCGAACGGUUUAGUAACGCGUAGGUAACCUUCCUGGUAGCGGGGGAUAACUAUUGGAAACGAUAGCUAAUACCGCAUAAAAUUUAUUAUUGCAUUAUAGUCAAUUAAAAGGUGCAACUGCACCACUACCAGAUGGACCUGCUUUCUAUUAGCUAGUUGGUGGGGUAACGGCUCACCAAGGCGUCGAUACAUAGCCGACCCGAGGGGGUGAUCAGCCAGACUGGGACUGAGACACGGCCUACAGUAAAAACGGAAGAAGCAGUAGGGAAUCUUCUGAAAUGGACAGGAGUCAAACGGAACAACGCAGAGUGAGUGAAGAAGAUUUUCGGAUCGUAAAGCACUGUUGUAAGAGAAGAACGAGUGUGAGAGAGUAAAGUUCACAAUGUGACGGUAUCUAACUAGAAAGGGACGGCUAACUACGUG
rnacentral:rRNA from 1 species